rnacentral:rRNA from 1 species
AGAGGUCUCAAGCGUUGUUCGGAUUCAUUGGGCGUAAAGGGUGCGUAGGCGGCGCGGUAAGUCGGGUGUGAAAUCUCGGAGCUUAACUCCGAAACUGCAUUCGAUACUGCCGUGCUUGAGGACUGGAGAGGAGACUGGAAUUUACGGUGUAGCGGUGAAAUGCGUAGAUAUCGUAAGGAAGACCAGUGGCGAAGGCGGGUCUCUGGACAGUUCCUGACGCUGAGGCACGAAGGCCAGGGGAGCAAACGGGAUUAGAUACCCCGGUAGUCCUGGCAGUAAACGGUGCACGUUUGGUGUGGGAGGAUUCGACCCCUUCUGCGCCGGAGCUAACGCGUUAAACGUGCCGCCUGGGGAGUACGGUCGCAAGAUUA